AAUCUCAUCUCAUUCUACGGCUCCUCUUUUAUACUCUGUUUUAAUACUCUUCAAAAGCUUCUAAUAGAAAACCAGUAAUGGCUGCUAAUAUCAUUUUGAAACUCUUUCUUGUUAUUUCCUUCUUUAAUGUGUGCUUCGCUUCAAGAAAGCUCACUGCUUUAGUGCAAGACCCACAAAUGCAGCUCUUGAAAUACCACAAGGGUGCACUUCUUUCUGGCAAAAUCUCAGUCAAUCUGAUUUGGUAUGGCAAAUUCAAGCCAUCCCAAAGAGCUAUUGUAUCUGAUUUUAUCAACUCCCUUUCUUCUUCAACUCCAUCUAAAACCAAUCCUUCUGUAGCACAAUGGUGGCUGAAAAAUACUACCAUCUCGCUAAUUCUAAGAACGCCCUUUCCCUCUCUUUGGGAAAACAACUUCUCAUUGAAAAUUAUUCCCUUGGAAAAUCACUGACCCAAAAGCAAAUCGUGCAAUUAGCAUCAAAGGGUGAACAGAAAGACGCCAUUAACGUUGUUUUGACCGCCUCUGAUGUUGCUGUUGAUGGGUUCUGUGUCAAUCGGUGUGGAACUCAUGGGGCUUCUAAGGGUGCAGUUAUUAACGGCAAGACUUACAAAUUUGCUUAUAUUUGGGUGGGUAACUCAGAGACUUUUUGUCCUGGCUACUGUGCCUGGCCAUUUCACCAACCCAUUUACGGACCACAGAGCCCACCAUUGGGUGCACCAAACAACGAUGUGGGUGUUGAUGGUAUGGUGAUUAACUUAGCUAGCUUAUUAGCUGGAACCGCUACGAACCCAUUUGGAAACGGUUACUACCAGGGCGAAGCAGAUGCGCCAUUGGAAGCUGCAUCUGCUUGCCCUGGUGUCUACGCCAAGGGCGCUUACCCAGGCUAUGCUGGAGAUUUGUUGGUGGAUAAAACAACAGGUGCAAGCUACAAUGCACAUGGUACAAACGGAAGGAAAUACUUGGUUCCUGCUUUAUAUGAUCCUGCUACAUCUUCAUGUUCAACUCUAGUCUAGAAAAAAUAAUCGUAGUAAUGUAGUACCAGUUGUACACGAAGAAGAAGAAGAAGAAGAAGCUAAUCUAGCAUAGUAAAUACUGUAAUUUUUGAUUCAUUUAUUUGUUUGAGGUUGAAAAUGGAAGAGCAAAUUGCUUCGGUUUGCUUUCACAAAUACUGUCCAAU